rnacentral:rRNA from 1 species
AGCCUGAUGCAGCCAUGCCGCGUGUGUGAAGAAGGCCUUCGGGUUGUAAAGCACUUUCAGUCAGGAGGAAAGGUUAGUAGUUAAUACCUGCUAGCUGUGACGUUACUGACAGAAGAAGCACCGGCUAACUCCGUGCCAGCAGCCGCGGUAAUACGGAGGGUGCGAGCGUUAAUCGGAAUUACUGGGCGUAAAGCGUACGCAGGCGGUUUGUUAAGCGAGAUGUGAAAGCCCCGGGCUCAACCUGGGAACUGCAUUUCGAACUGGCAAACUAGAGUGUGAUAGAGGGUGGUAGAAUUUCAGGUGUAGCGGUGAAAUGCGUAGAGAUCUGAAGGAAUACCGAUGGCGAAGGCAGCCACCUGGGUCAACACUGACGCUCAUGUACGAAAGCGUGGGGAGCAAACAGGAUUAGAUACCCUGGUAGUCCACGCCGUAAACGAUGUCUACUAGAAGCUCGGAACUUCGGUUCUGUUUUUCAAAGCUAACGCAUUAAGUAGACCGCCUGGGGAGUACGGCCGCAAGGUUAAAACUCAAAUGAAUUGACGGGGGCCCGCACAAGCGGUGGAGCAUGUGGUUUAAUUCGAUGCAACGCGAAGAACCUUACCUACACUUGACAUACAGAGAACUUACCAGAGAUGGUUUGGUGCCUUCGGGAACUC